rnacentral:rRNA from 1 species
UACGUAGGGACCAAGCGUUGUUCGGAAUUACUGGGCGUAAAGCGCACGUAGGCGGGUCGUUAAGUCAGGGGUGAAAUCCCGGAGCUCAACUUCGGAACUGCCUUUGAUACUGGCGACCUUGAGGCUGGAAGAGGUUAGUGGAAUUCCCAGUGUAGAGGUGAAAUUCGUAGAUAUUGGGAAGAACACCAGUGGCGAAGGCGGCUAACUGGUCCAGAUCUGACGCUGAGGUGCGAAAGCGUGGGGAGCAAACAGG